rnacentral:rRNA from 1 species
AAACCAACAGGGAUUGCCUCACUAUGCAUAUCAAAAGCGGAGGAAAAGAAACCAACCGGGAUUGCCUCAGUAACGGCGAGUGAAGCGGCAAAAGCUCAAAUUUGAAAUCCUUCGGGAGUUGUAAUUUGUAGAGGGGUGUCUUUGGGGCGGCAUUGUCUAUGUUCCUUGGAACAGGACGUCACAGAGGGUGAGAAUCCCGUGCGAUGAUGCCUCAACCAGUACAAGACCCUCUCGACGAGUCGAGUUGUUUGGGAAUGCAGCUCUAAGUGGGUGGUAAAUUCCAUCUAAAGCUAAAUACUGGCGAGAGACCGAUAGCGAACAAGUACAGUGAUGGAAAGAUGAAAAGCACUUUGAAAAGAGAGUGAAACAGUACGUGAAAUUGUUGAAAGGGAAGGGUAGGAGGUGAGGGGAAGAGCUGCUUUGGCGCGGGAGAUAAACAAGCAGGAAGCGCUUCGGUGCGGCCUGGUAAAUAUCCCGUGCUUGUGUGGUUCUUCCGUAAUCCCCUUCUACCGC